GAUGAACGCUGGCGGCGUGCCUAACACAUGCAAGUCGAGCGGUAUAUAUCUAAACAAAACUUCGGUCCAGUGAGGAUAUAGAGAGCGGCGGACGGGUGAGUAACGCGUAGGCAACCUGCCCCAUACAGAGGGAUAGCCUCGGGAAACCGGGAUUAAAACCUCAUAACGCGAAAGGUUCACAUGGACUUUUCGCCAAAGAUUUAUCGGUAUGGGAUGGGCCUGCGUCUGAUUAGCUAGUUGGUGGGGUAACGGCCUACCAAGGCGACGAUCAGUAGCCGGCCUGAGAGGGUAAUCGGCCACAUUGGAACUGAGACACGGUCCAAACUCCUACGGGAGGCAGCAGUGGGGAAUAUUGCACAAUGGGCGAAAGCCUGAUGCAGCAACGCCGCGUGAGCGAUGAAGGCCUUUGGGUCGUAAAGCUCUGUCCUUGGGGAAGAAAAAAAUGACGGUACCCUUGGAGGAAGCCCCGGCUAACUACGUGCCAGCAGCCGCGGUAAAAC
rnacentral:rRNA from 1 species